rnacentral:tRNA from 1 species
ACCCAAAUAGCUCAGUUGGGAGAGCGUUAGACUAUAGAACGAGAGGUCCCUGGUUCGAUCCCGGGAUUCGGCA